GACGAACGCUGGCGGCGUGCUUAACACAUGCAAGUCGAACGGAAAGGCCCUGCUUUUGUGGGGUGCUCGAGUGGCGAACGGGUGAGUAACACGUGAGUAACCUGCCCUUGACUUUGGGAUAACUUCAUGAAACUGGGUCUAAUACCGGAUAGGAGCUCCUGCUGCAUGGUGGGGGUUGGAAAGUUUCGGCGGUUGGGGAUGGACUCGCGGCUUAUCAGCUUGUUGGUGGGGUAGUGGCUUACCAAGGCUUUGACGGGUAGCCGGCCUGAGAGGGUGACCGGCCACAUUGGGACUGAGAUGCGGCCCAGACUCCUACGGGAGGCAGCAGUGGGGAAUAUUGCACAAUGGGCGGAAGCCUGAUGCAGCAACGCCGCGUGCGGGAUGACGGGCUGCGGGUUGUAAACCGAUUUCGCCUGUGACGAAGCGUGAGUGACGGUAAUGGGUAAAGAAGCACCGGCUAACUACGUG
rnacentral:rRNA from 1 species